CAAAAAUAUAUAUAUAUAUAUUGGAAAGGGAACUGAGGUCCCCGUCCCAUGGCCAAGAAGUCCUAUUAUUGGACUCUGCCUCCUCCAGGAAGGCGGACCGUAAGCCAAGCAUUCCUUGCUACACCCCCUUAGGAGUUGUUCAAUCCCUAGGGAGCCAUCGUCCUCACUUGCUGAGCGGAGAGUCACAAAUUUGAGCACACCCUUUGGAGGGGGUGCAGGAAGCAGAAGAGGUGGAUUCCCCAAACCACACAGCCAGUGUGGUGGGGAGCCCAGUCAGUCUGGACUCCUGCCACCCCAUCCACGAGUCCUUCACCAAGGACUUUGGAAAUGAAUUCCCUAUCCACUUGGAGAAAUCUGGCCCCUGACCCAGGAAGGCCCCUAACCAGCUUGGAUUCAAUGACAACAGAGCCAGUGUUUACUUGGAACAAAGCACCAGGGGGAAAUGCAUGCUGAAUCAGAGCUGGCCAGCCCCCGCAGCAGCCGGGUGGGAGCGUUAGGACAUGUCCACACAUCUUCGAUGGAAAACGGCCAGAGAGGCCCAGGGAAGAGGCCUGGGUAGGGGCAAGCAGGGAGCAGACAAUCACUUGUUGAAGGAAGAUCCAAGUCCAGGAAGGAACACAGGGCCUUUGGUGUCAUGGAAGGACCUGGGGGCCCAGCCAAGGGGCUCGAGAGCCCUUCAGACUCUGCCUGAGCCAGGGUGGUGCUCUGUCACCCAGGCUGGAAUGUAGUGGUGUGAUC